rnacentral:rRNA from 1 species
UUGGAGGGCAAGUCUGGUGCCAGCAGCCGCGGUAAUUCCAGCUCCAAUAGCGUAUAUUAAAGUUGUUGCAGUUAAAAAGCUCGUAGUUGAAUUUCGGGAUCAAUGGAUCGGUCAUGCCGUUGGUAUGUACUGGUUUUAUUGAUUCUCACCUUCUAAAGAACCAUGAUGGCAUUAAUUUGUUGUUGUGGGGAAUUAGGACUGUUACCUUGAAAAAAUUAGAGUGUUUAAAGCAGGCUUACGCUUGAAUACAUUAGCAUGGAAUAACGAAAUAGGACAUCGCAUUCUAUUUUGUUGGUUUCUGGGAUCGAUGUAAUGAUUAAUAGGGAUAGUUGGGGGCAUUAGUAUUCAAUUGUCAGAGGUGAAAUUCUUGGAUUUAUUGAAGACUAACUACUGCGAAAGCAUUUGCCAAGGAUGUUUUCAUUAAUCAAGAACGAAAGUUAGGGGAUCGAAGACGAUCAGAUACCGUCGUAGUCUUAACCAUAAACUAUGCCGACUAGGGAUCGGAUGAUGUUAAUUUUUUAAUGACUCAUUCGGCGCCUUACGGGAAAC